AGCAACCUGCUUGGACCCCCUUUCACGCUGUGGAAACUUUGUUCUUUCGCUCUUCACAAUAAAUCUUUCUGCUGCUCACUCUUUGGGUCUGUGUCAUCUUUAAGAGCUAUAACACUCACCGCGAAGGUCUGCAGCUCCAUUCUGGAAGUCAGUGAGACCACGAACCCACCAGAAGGAACAAACUCCGGACACAUCUUGGAAACUAUGAAGGGACUAUCGCCAAGUGGAUUGAUGCCAUCAAGCUACAGAUGGUCUUACAAAUGGAACACCAAAUGAGCUCUACUAACAAUUUCUACUGUGGACCACUGGACUGACCCACUGACCCUUUGGCUGGCCUAGAGAGAUCUGCUCUGUAGGACACUACCACUGCCACUGCAGGGCCCCUUCUUUGCCUCUAUCCAACAGGAAGUAGCUAGAGUGGUCAUCACCCAAUUCCCAACAGCAGUUAGGGUGUCCUGUUUAGAGGGGGGAUUGAGCGAUGAAGCCAGCCGGACUUCCUGGGUUGAGUGGGGUCUUGGAGAACUUUUCUGUCAUACAAGAGGUUUGUAAAACACACCAAUCAGUGUUCUGUGGCUAGCUAGAGGUUUGUAAAGUGCUCCAAUCAGUGCUCUGUAAAAACGCACCAAUCAGCGCUCUGUGGCUAGCUAGAGGUUUGUAAAAUAGACCAAUCAGCACUCUGUAAAAUGGACCAAUCAGCAGGAUGUGGGCAGGGACAAAUGAGGGAAUAAAAGCUGGCCACCCCAGCCAGCAGUGGUAAGCCACUCGGGUCCCCUUCCACGCUGUGGAAGCUUUGUUCUUUUGCUCUUCACAAUAAAUCUUGCUGCUGUUCUCUC